CCCAAGAGGCGGAGGAUACAGUGAGCUGAGAUCGCGUCACUGCACUCCAGCCUGGGCGACAGAGUGAGAUUCCAUCUCAGAAAGAACAAAAACCCUCUCUUUCCUUGACCUUUUCUGGGCUGUGUUGGCAAACAGCUCUAGCAAACUCCCUAACCAGCUCAGGGUCUGAGCUGGACACGUGCGGGCUAGAUCAGUGAAGCCUCAGUUUUGUUUUUUUUUGAUAUGCUAUGCCCUGGCUUUUUGGCUGCUAGCUCAGACUCCCUUCAGUGCUGUCAUCAUUAACUCCUGUAAGAACUCCGCAGGAUGGAUGGGCAUCAAAGCCCCUGCUUCUGCUCAACCAGGGGCAGUGUCUGCUGAAGUCUUGAGAUGGAGAGAGUUGCAGAAGCCGAGGGUCAGAGUAGAAGCCCGGUGUCAUGGCCCUUGAUCUAGUUCCUGAGGACCCAGGAACUAGGUGGGGUUGGGGCAGCAGGUCCUGAGAUCUUCCAGCUGGAUUGCUCACGGAACCUGGCAUGGGCACAGAUGAUCGCCAUCCCGCUGGUCACCAGCCUGUAUGUCCUGGUCAACCUCAGUUACCUGCUAGUGCUAUCGCCCAGUGAGACCCUCUCUGCUGAUGCUAUGGCUGUGAAUGGUGGGGGUGAGGCAGGGGAUAACUGCAUCACAUGGUAUAUCCCUGGGACACCAAGCAGACUUUCCAGGCUGGGGAAGUAAAGUGCACCAUGUGUAUUUAAACUUGUCUUUGAAUGUAUUGCUUGCUUCAUUUCUGAGUGGGGCCUUGUGGUGGUCUUCCAUGAUGCGGCUGGAAUUCCUUCCCCAGUUUCUGGGGUCCUGGGCCUAGCCAGUGUCCUUGGCCGUUGCAGUGUGGACAUUCGGUUCCAUCAAUGGAAUUGAUGGAUUUUCUUCAGCAGAAAUCGUUUGUGCUGUGUGGCUGCAAGAGAGGGCCACAUGGUGAGAGAUGGGGCUUAGGGCUGGGCAGGAGGGUGGGGCUGCAGGAGGGGAGCUACAAGACCAGCCAGCUACGUUUUCUCCUGCCUGAAGCUUAGCGUUUGGUCCCAAACCGGACUUUCCCUGUAAGAUACAGCCCUCUUUUCUUCUGAGAACGGAACUUAGGCACUCCCUAUCUCUCAGUUUUAACUCUAAUCCUUUUACUUUUGGGUUUUUGGGAGAUCACAGUACUGGGUCACACUGGGUCGGGGGCAGGCAACAAGGAUAUUUGUGCACAUCUGUGGUGCAGAGGCCAUGGGGAGGAGAAACACUAUUCUUGUGGUUGCGUUCCCUCUGGGUCUCCUCCCGCUGGGGACUCUCUGUCCCAGUAUUACCUUUGACUGCAAUACUGCUGAAUAAUAGACAGCCCCAAAUCUCAGUGUCUUGUAGUAACCUUUAACUGUCGUUUCCAAGUCAGUAGGCCAGCUGCGGCUUGGCUUCAGGCUGUGGCUUGCUUUGGGUCUCACCUUGGUCUGAGUCUAUCCUUAUAUUAGGUACUAAGGUCGAAGCAGCAGCCACUACUAGGGGCAUGACAUUGCCUGUAGCAGGUGGCAGAGGUUCAACAGACCAAGCCAAACCACAUAAGCAUAUUUAGAGAA